rnacentral:lncRNA from 1 species
UCCACGUGGUGGGAGUAGGGCUUUGGACCAGUGAUCAUUAACCACCUCUGGGUUAAACCAGCCCAAGGUGAUUGCAAUUCACACUACAAGAGGCCCCUCUUCUGUGGUUGAAAUGGAAAUCAAGUUUGAAAUGUCAAGCAGUUGUCUGAGGCAUAGCAGUCAGAGAAAUUGAACUGUCAGAAACUAACACAAGAAUAAUAAGAGGAUAUUUCUUCUUCAUUGGACACCAGAGAUGAAUAGCAGGCAGUGAAAUGUACUCUGAACACAGUGAGCAUGCUUCAUCUGUCAAAUUUAGUUACACUUUAUUGCAUCUCUCAUUAGCUGAGAUCAUGGGGAAAAACAUUUCUCAUGCUGUUGGACUGCCAACUCAUAUUUGGACAACAGUUAAGCUCUUAAGCAAUGAAGCAUCUGCCUAAGAUUCUAUUGCCUCAAACUCCAAAACAACCCAAGGAAGUGUUUGGCCAGGAAAUGGCCUUAGAUCUGCCUGCACUAUUGAAGAAGGGCAACCAGCAAGUACUCUUCUCUUCCAGGAGGAAAGGCUUGGAGGCCCUGUGCAAAGCUUGUCUCCUUGACACCAAACAGUGGCUGAAUCAGGACCAGAACACAAGGCCCACAGGACCUCUCUCUCCAGGAAGGAUUCGCAGAGUACAUUGGAUUUUCCCUGAUUUUCUAACCCUGGAGCAGGGCCCCCCUGUGGUUAAUUUAACACUUGUAAAUUUCCACUCAGCUGAGACAAAUCUGCCUCUGUCUGAAUAAAUUGACCAUAUUCCAU